AGGGUGUAAACGCUGCAGACUUGGUGUUGGGAACCCUUCGGGGGUGCUCAGUGCCGGAGAGAAGUUGUUAAGUCUGCUACUUGGGGAGUACGUCCGCAAGGAUGAAACUUAAAGGAAUUGGCGGGGGAGCACCGCAACGGGAGGAGCGUGCGGUUUAAUUGGAUUCAACGCCGAAAAACUCACCAGCAGCGACUGUUACAUGAAAGUCAGGUUGAUGACCUUACUAGAUUUUCAGAGAGGAGUGCAUGGCGUCAGUGACU
rnacentral:rRNA from 1 species